rnacentral:lncRNA from 1 species
UAUACGAUAGGUGGAGGAGACUAUGGGAGUAUGCAAAGCUUUUUCAUGCGUUUAGGCGACCAGGCGAUGCAAGGGUGUGCAUAUUGCAUAUAGAAGUGCCUGGUCACAUAUGCGACGUGUUUUUUUAAUGUAUUUUUUACUUUUUUUAAACAUGAAAAGAUUGGAAGAAAAUAUCCGUCCUGAAAUCUGGAUAUUCUGACGGGCUGAAAGGAGACGUCCGACGACUGGAAUAAAGGCUCCGGCGAGGAUGAGGGGAGAGGAGUAAGAUCUAGAUUGGGGAGGUGGUGGGAGGGAGGCAACGGUUUUGUUUUUGGAGUUAGGGUUUAGAAAUUUUAAAUAUUGUUAUUGAAUUGGGUUUUUUUAAGGUUCUUAAUUUUUAAUGUAUGAAAAGUUUUAUUUUUCAAAUGUUUAUUAGGUAUAUGGGUCUGGCUUAGCCGGAUCCGACCUAGAUCUGACUAAGACCCAAAAAUAGGGGACCCCCCAAAUAUGCGAUGGGGAAAAUGUGCCGGGUUACAUAUGUGCACAUAUGCGAGAAUAUGCAAAAGCAUGGAGCAUGCAUAAUUUUAUCAAUGAUCAGAUAGAAAGAGGAAAAAAUGAACGUACAUUAUAAGCGGUAACUCUUCCAGCUGAGUUGCCAGGAAUAACUUUGAUCUAUAUGUCGAUUCUUCGAAACAUGUAUUCCUGUUUGGAUUGAAAUCCUGAUCUGGAUAUUUUAUCACGUAAAAGCUGUAGCAGUCUACCUCUGUCCAUAAUCUCACCUCUACUCCCACCUCAUGUUAUUUCGACGAUGUUGAAGAAAUCAUCUGCCACAGCAUGUGAGACGAGGACGAGAAGAUCUAUAAGAAGAAAAAUAUCGUCAAGAUAGAUCCUCUUUCUCCUCUCCAACUCAAGCUUGUUGCCUAUAUAUAUACCUAUAUAUAAGCUAAAUAUCUGAUAUUCCGAACCCUCC